UCAUAUGUACAUGUCUACAAUGUUAAUGCACCAGAUCCCAUUAGAAAUCCACAAUUAAGCACACUUGGGCUAGAGUAGUACUGGGAUGGGUGACCUCUCGUCUAGUGUUUAACAUGCAUAUGAC
rnacentral:rRNA from 1 species